ACUCAAAUGAAUUGACGGGGGCCCGCACAAGCGGUGGAGCAUGUGGUUUAAUUCGACGCAACGCGCAGAACCUUACCAGCCCUUGACAUGGGUAGUAUGGGCAGGAGAGAUCUUGUUCUUCAGUUCGGCUGGCUACCACACAGGUGCUGCAUGGCUGUCGUCAGCUCGUGUCGUGAGAUGUUGGGUUAAGUCCCGCAACGAGCGCAACCCUCGCCUUUAGUUGCCAUCGGGUAGGGCCGGGCACUCUAAAGGAACUGCCGGUGACAAGCCGGGGGAAGGUGGGGAUGACGUCAAGUCCUCAUGGCCCUUACGGGCUGGGCUACACACGUGCUACAAUGGCGGUGACAGUGGGGCGCGAAGGGGUGACCUGGAGCCGAUCCCAUAAAAGCCGUCUCAGUUCGGAUUGUUCUCUGCAACUCGAGAGCAUGAAGGUGGAAUCGCUAGUAAUCGCGGAUCAGCACGCCGCGGUGAAUACGUUCCCGGGCCUUGCACACACCGCCCGU
rnacentral:rRNA from 1 species